GUCCCCCGCGGGAAGGCGGAUUUCCACAGGGAACGGGCCGCGGGGCGUCCCUUCCUCAGCCCCUCGACAUGCUUCUUAGCCCCAGGCUAGCACCUGAGUUUUAGGAACUCGUUUUUAAUGGCAAACAGGCUCAUCUUAUAUGUACAUAUUCCAGUUACAGGCCAGUGGCUACAAAAUUGUUAACUCCAACUGUUAAUUACAGGCAGCUAAAUACCUCUUUUGCUGUUGUAGUACAUUAAAAGGGAAUGCUGCCUGGUAACCCUGACACUCGUGUGUGGUACCUGGUUACAUGUCAGCCUCAGCCUACUGAAGACAACAGGGGGUUUGCUACUGAUAGUGUUGGGUCCAGAAGUUCAUCUGUGCCCAUUGGAUAAGAGCUACUGUACUUCCACUGAGAGUCCUAUCUCCUUAUCAGAUGUUUCCUCUUUUCCUGUGCACUGCUUCCUGAAAGGCCACAUGUGGGACAGCUCCGUUUUCUUCAGUCCCAAGCUGGGCAGAUGAUGCCUUCCACCUGACAGACAACAGGAGCAGGAGCACAGCAAACUUAAAGGCAUCUCUCCAUUCUGCUAACACAGCUUUAGUGUGCAGGAGACAGAAUCACAACGUAGCUGUGGCGCAUAAGAGAACAGUGGAUAAGUGCUGGACUAGGGAAAAAUCUGCUGGUGUCAGCACACAAGGGAAAGAGCUGAAGUUGGUCUGACAAAGCAUAAACGCACGAUGUGG